CAGACUCCUACGGGAGGCAGCAGUAGGGAAUCUUCCGCAAUGGACGAAAGUCUGACGGAGCAACGCCGCGUGAGUGAUGAAGGUUUUCGGAUCGUAAAACUCUGUUGUUAGGGAAGAACAAGUACCGUUCGAAUAGGGCGGUACCUUGACGGUACCUAACCAGAAAGCCACGGCUAACUACGUGCCAGCAGCCGCGGUAAU
rnacentral:rRNA from 1 species